UGAAAACAGUGCUGUAGAGAGGAGCUGUGAAGAACCUGGCAACAGAAAAAACUCAGCAAACACAGACAUUCACAACAUGGGACGAAAUUGCUCUAUAGCAUGUAAAAAGCAGCGGGUGGGGAUGCUGAGCGAACAAGCAAAUGCAUUCUGAAUUAAAGCAAAAUGCUCAAUGAGGAGACGAGCCCUGCGACACAAUCAACAACACAUUCAUUUUAAAGAGCAUUCAACUCCACAAUGAAAGAUUUUGUCCUGUCAUUGUUGAGUCGUGGGUAUGCCCAGUUUGUGCCAGCUGAAGACGGUCAUGAUGGAAGACUGGAGGUCUGUUUUGAACCAGAGGUAAGCGUUUCUGAAGCCAAAUUUACACGGCAUAUGUUUGAAAGUAGAAUUUGUUUGUCUUGACACAGACUGUUUUAAUGCAGCUCUGAGCUGGCAUGAAUGAAUUUACACAGAAAUUACAGCAGUAUAAACUGGCACAAUGGCCUGAAAUGGGUCAAAGUAGUUUCAUUUAGCAGUUUUUACACAGAAUCGAGAUCAGACAUACAAACGGUUUGUUUAUUUGAAUGCACUCAAAAAAAAGUCAAUGAAAACAGGGUCUUUUCGAAACUAGGACUACUUUAACUGGAAAUCCCAGCCUCCCCUGCUGCGUCUCACCAGGAGUGGACAUUUUUUUGGAGGCCUGGAGCCGGUACCUCCUAAGACCUACAGUACGAGAAGAGGACCUCUUAUUCUGUAUUCAGAAGAUCUGGCACACGCAUAUCAAUCUGGCCAGGUGAAGAGGAAGAGGAAGGCUCAGAGCUGCCCAAAACAGGAAGUUGAGAAGCAGCUGCACACACUGCAAGACCUGACUGGAGCGAUUCUGGCCUUUGGAAAAAAGAAGACAAAGGCCGGAUCUCUUUCUGAGGUAAAGCACCCCUUGUUGCCAGCCGCUAAACCUGCAAUACAAACCAUCCACAUCCAUCACAGACCUGCAGACAAGUGCUGCAACUCCAGCCUGGUGAAAGGAGAGAAAGUUGGAGAGGUCAGAUAUCACCCACGUUUCUUCUCAUCUCCUCGACCCAACCAGCCAACUCAAGACCCUCUGCCGCCCAUAACAGAGGGUCUGGUUCACAUACAAGUCCAAGACAAAACACCCACGAUACCAGAUGAACAAAUUACCUUUAAGCCUCAAGAAGAGAAAGACCAACUGAAGGAGCAGCCAAAAGACAGAAAAAGGCUCAAGAAUGUGAGGAUAGCCAUCAACACAUGCCAUACUCAGAUCAUUCCAACCCCAGAGACAGAAACAGCACUCAAUCAGACUGAAGAUGAAGCCGUGACUUUAGCAGCCAGUACAAACCCUUCCACAAUACUCCCACAUCUGACUGACCGUCCCAAGGAUCUAAAUGGCAGAGGGAAGCGCAGUCGGGUGGAGGGUGGAAGAGCAGUUGGAGAAAUGUCUACUUUGAGGUCAGUCUAUGUGGAUUCCUCUUUGGAUUACAGCCCAAUUUCACGGGUUAAUUACUACGGUGGACACAUGGAGGGAUCCCGCCAAAGUAAGACCAACAAAUCUGUAUUUAUUGGCCAUUUACAGUCAGUAAAAUCUACAUCAUGGUACAAGCAUGAAGUCAUACAUGUGAUCAAUAUGAGUAAAUGA
ensembl:lincRNA